CCUACGGGUGGCAGCAGUGAGGAAUAUUGGUCAAUGGACGUAAGUCUGAACCAGCCAAGUCGCGUGAGGGAAGACUGCCCUAUGGGUUGUAAACCUCUUUUAUAAGGGAAGAAUAAGUUCUACGUGUAGAAUGAUGCCUGUACCUUAUGAAUAAGCAUCGGCUAACUCCGUGCCAGCAGCCGCGGUAAUACGGAGGAUGCGAGCGUUAUCCGGAUUUAUUGGGUUUAAAGGGAGCGUAGAUGGAUGUUUAAGUCAGUUGUGAAAGUUUGCGGCUCAACCGUAAAAUUGCAGUUGAAACUGGCAGUCUUGAGUACAGUAGAGGUGGGCGGAAUUCGUGGUGUAGCGGUGAAAUGCUUAGAUAUCACGAAGAACUCCGAUUGCGAAGGCAGCUCACUAGACUGUCACUGACACUGAUGCUCGAAAG
rnacentral:rRNA from 1 species